GGCGUACAAAGUACGAGACACUUGAAGAAGUGACGCGUUAGAUGCAGUUGGACGCUAACACCAGUGUUCGUUAGAAGGCUGGAGAAAUAUGAGGUCAAGAUGAGCGACGAACUAUCAAGAACACAGCCAUGCAGUGCUGUUGUGCACAGUGAACAGCGCACACAUAGCCAGGGUGAUAGCGAGCAACUCAUUCGUCGACAGGCUGCGCAAGUUGCAUAUUUUCGCAGACGCCAGCCCAAGGGCAUAUGGUGCGGUAGUCUACCUCGAGCACAGACAGAGAAUGCAACACAAAGUGACAAAACAGGUGCGGCCACCAAGUCCGCGUAUUGAAGAUAACCGAAACCCUAUUGCGGAUAGGAACCUCGAGGUUGUGUCACAUACAGAGAUAAAAUGGAGGCCGAAAGGAAUAAGAAAGCUGGUGAAACUUGGUGAAGUCGGAGGAAAUUACAGAAUAGUCAGUACGACGUUCAUGUUGAAAGGUUACACCUUCGAGCUAGAGGUUACUGCCGAGGACAAGGAUGGAAAGCCGCAUCUGGUGGCUGUGCUACGCCUGUGCCCCGGUUGCAAUGACGAUAACCUGGAAUGGCCAUUCAAUACGCCAUACACGAUAACCCUCUGCCACCCUCAUGACGAAGACUAUACCAUCCCGGUACCUGCUGUAUUCGGCACCCAUACCCGUACUUCCUAUGUGAGACCACAGGGUGGCCGUAAUCCUGGUGUUACGUUCUUCUUCAUACCGCUUGAAGCAUUUAAAGGGCGCCACUAUGUAAUCGACGAUGCCCUUUGCUUGUCAUUGAAGUUGUACGCUCCAGUUGAAUAAUACACUAUACGAUAAUGCGUCAGAAACCCGCUAUAUGAUAUGCUGAGUACGACACUUUUAUUGUAAUGUUUUCCAAUGUUGCAGAACGCACGUGUGGUCUGUGCUACACCAGCGUUGCAGACAUAUAGAAACGCAUAAACAGAACACAUUUGGGUGUGACAAUGAAAAAAUGGCUAGGAAGCAAGCGAGCUGGUGAGGAUGAUGCAUAAUGUAAAACCCCGAGACUAGGGAACACGAAGGGACAGACACAACACGAAGUCUCACAUUUGGGUAAUCCACAAUGACGGUACAUGGGCAACCGAUGGAAAGGCAGGCAGUAACGUUCGGAAUCCCGAGCCGUUUCACAUUCCCGGGAUUUCGAAAACAAAACGUCGAUUGGAACCCUUCUUUCCCUUUCACUCGUACCCCGGAAUAUUUGUUGUCAAAAAAGCCGAAAUUUAUAAUCUCGAACUCCCGCGAUUUGGACUUGCCAAAUGCUCAAAUUAUGCUCAAAUCCCGGGAUUUCAGGACCCUGUGGUCCUGGGCUUCGAAGCCUAGUAGGUAAUUGUCUACAACCAGCCUUGAAAAAGAAUCACGAUUGUUAUGACAAUAUCGAGAAAGUUUGAUUCACUCGAUUGACUUUGAUUUAUUUGAUCUAAAUCAACUUUUGAGCAGGCAUUUGGUUUGGACUACGAACACCACUCCUGUGAAAAUCUGGAAAGUAAACCCUGAUGACACACUCUACAAACAGUACUUCACCGCAUAGCACGCCGUACGCCGACCAUUUCCACGAAUGAUAGCGUUAUCGCUUUUGAUUCGAAAGUAAACCAGGGCGCGGCAAUUUGGAUAUAUGAUUGCCACAAAGAGGCAUACGCAUCCAUCUCUCUUCGGAUCACAAGCGAUAGUCCAAUAAUUCGUGGCAAUGGUUGGCGCACAGCGUGCUAUGCGGUGAAGUUCUGUUUUUAGAGUGCAUAGACUGCACAGAAGUCGCUUAUGUAGUUGACGCAGAGCAGUAGAGAUGGAAAGAGACACGCUUAGAGUUCCACAGCGAAUAUCAAUCACCGUUGCCAAGCCGGAACAAAUGAGCUGCUACACAGCACUUGGAACAUUAGAAGCUAAUUUCCUUACAAAAUGUCAAGAGGUAUACAUGCAGUAACUUGAAGGCCUGGCUAGGCAUUUGAACGGCACAUUUCUAGCCAAUAUCGUGCAAUACAGGUAGAAAGGCACUACGUAAUUAGAUAUUGCAAUGUAUUGGACACAUCAUUUUUUUACUACGUACUUGUCACCGGUUAUAGGUUAUGAAGUGGAGGAUAUCCCUUUAAAGGAGCACUGAGGUGACCCCAAUUUCUUUUUCGAUGCAGGGCGUUCGCCAAGGAAUAAUAUGUGAUCAUGUUCUUAAUGGGGACACCUCACAGUGUUAUCAUAAUUUUGAUGUCUGACUGCCUGAAGAGGAGACGCUAUGCUUCAAUAAGUACCCCGUGCGCGCAGUACUUCAGGGGCCAUGGUUUCGGGCUCUUGGCGAGGAAUUGCCGUGGGACACCGCGCUAGCAGACAUGCUAAACUCGAAAAGAAGCCAAAUGUGCCAAAGGUUAAGGACGCAUCCUGGUAGUUAGAGGUAGCUCCCAUUGCGGCCCUUAAAAAAUAAUUUUUUGGGGAAAAUGCGGCUCCAUCAACCAUGCUAUGCUGUAGGCUCCUCAAAUACCAAAGUGGUCCGGGGCUUUAUUACCUCCACAGCCGUAACACGCCCUUCAGGCUCCUCUGCGCCAGAACAAGGUCGCACACAUACCACGAAAGACUUGGCGCUUUUUGCUAAGAGCUAGGAAAUAAGGGUGAUAAAGGUGUCUAUCAUGCCAACUGUUCGGUCCAUGCGAAGGUCACGGCGACACAAGAGAAAGUUCAAGAAUUAUCAUGAUCAGCUCAUCCACCUUUUCUCUUUUCUUUUAUGACGUGAAAAUUUUUCUAAUUUCGGUUUGGUCGCCAGGUCAACAAUUUACGGUGAAAUUAUGCAGUAUUUCAUGACGAUUCCUGACGCGAUAAAUCUGUGAUUAAGAAACCAUUGGCAAUCAACUGGCUAGCAUAGCGUACACGUGUAAGGCUCUAGCUAACAGGUCACUGCAGCGGCUGGCGCAUUCUGGCGGGUGCGUGCGAGAGGUACGGAAAUGUAGGGGUACGUGCACCUUGCCGGCAUUCUAUCUCGCGAAAGCGUAAAACUAGGAUGUCGAUAGAGGUAUCUUUCGGAAGUGCCAGAGAAGUUCUACCCGGACCUUAAGCGAUGUCCGAUUCAACGAGAAGAACCAAUAUUUAGUAAAUUUGCAAAUUUGAGAAUCAAAUUUUCGCCAGAAUGACGGCGUAUAGAAACCUAAAAUAUGAUCAGAGCUGGGGGAAACGGCAAUCUGCAGAAAGUGCGGUUCGAGAGGAACAAACAAAAAAGCCCAAAUUUCCCAGAGUCCAGCACCGAGCCAUCGAGAGAGCUGAGAGAGCGACGAAGAUAGAGGCAAAUUCGGCAGCCGGCGCUCAUAGUGAGUCCGUACUGUCAAAUAAUAUCACAAAACUAAUGGAAUGAAUAAAUAAAUAAACACUUGCAUUUAUUUCACUAAGAUCCCGCAAAGUAGUAAAGGAAUCCCAGAUUGUGACGUUUUCACGUAAAACACUACUCCAUUUUUUUACGCUUUCCGUUUCUGGCAAGUGCAAGCAAACACGUGAUGGUUAAUGCUCGUUGUGUGUACAUAAUGAGUAACUGAAAAAUAAGAUAAAAAUUUAGAAGUACACAUGUUCAAUGUACAUGGUAUUGCCCCUCUAGCUUGUCCCAUGUGGGUAACAGGAGUUUCAGAGCUGUGAAAAUGUCUAGAUAAUCAUCUUGCACUGCAGUCUGAACCAACUACACCACCUCACCAACUGCACUGUUAGAAAAAUGGGUGGAACAGUUACACAUUUUAGGAGAUAAUGGUCAUCGCAUAUGUUGUGCCUAAAAGGUUUCACAGUUCUACCUGCUACUUACGAAUGAUAGGGCUACCGCUUUUGAUUCGGCGAGUGAGGGGGAGUAUGCCUUCUUGUUGCAAUUUUUAUGUAUGAUAAUUGCUUUUCCAUGAUAGGCAAGCCCGAGCGAUGGGCAAGACACGUAAACAAACACAAACACGGAGGCUCAGUGCUUGAGCCUUCGUGUUUGUGCUUGUUUACGUGUCUUGCCCAUCGCUCAGGCUUGCCUAUCAUGAAAUUUAUCCACCAGCUAGCCUGCAUUUACGCCAUUCUGUCAAUAAUUGCUUUUAUCAUCGUUUUAGACCCUGAUGACACACUAUGUUGGCCUAGAUGGUAACUAUUUUCACACCCUUUUUUCCUGGAGUGUAGCCCAAGGCAAAUCACUGUUCAAGUUUUAUGGAAAAAGCUCAGCGUAGAAGUGUGAAAUUUUCAUUUAUUUUGCAUCGAGCUGCUAAUUGUCGGUACCUGUCGCUGCUGCUUAAUAAAACGUGUUCCCAAUCUGUCUGUAUCAUGCUUAUGACAUUCUAACUCGAUGAUAUAGCGGACAGCACGUUAUUGCCCCAUACGUUCAUUUACUAAUGUAUUUGACCUCGGUUGUCUCGCGACGCACUCCCCCAAUUAUUAAUAAUAAUAAUAAUAUAUUUCUCUAUCCGUUCUUCCUUCAUCUGUAUGUAGAAAUUUCUGAUGAUCUGUCGCUUAAAGAUUACAUUGAUCACCACUGGAGAUAUUUGUGGUCCUGUAUAAUAUCACAAAAGUUCUCAGUCUGUUACUAAGUUGUCAAUUUUCAUUGUGUAUUUUGCACGGCAAAAGCUGGAUAAUAAAAUGAAGCCCGUUAAGCCGCAAUUGA